rnacentral:rRNA from 1 species
UACGAAGGGGGCUAGCGUUGUUCGGAAUUACUGGGCGUAAAGCGCGCGCAGGCGGUCUUCCAAGUCAGUGGUGAAAGCCCGGAGCUCAACUUCGGAACUGCCAUUGAAACUGUUAGACUUGAGGACGAGAGAGGUGAGUGGAAUUCCCAGUGUAGAGGUGAAAUUCGUAGAUAUUGGGAAGAACACCGGUGGCGAAGGCGGCCUCCUGGGCCAACACUGACGCUCAUGCACGAAAGCGUGGGGAGCAAACAGG